UGCCUUUGUGUGUUCUCAAGAUUGAAUCAUU
rnacentral:piRNA from 1 species